AGACCAAACUUCAACUUUACAAGUGGAUAACAGCAAAAGCAAAAUUCAAACACUCGAAAAAGAAGUUUUAAAGUUGUCUCAAGAUUUUCAGACUAUUGCUAAUCACAGAGGAAAACUGUGUUCACUAGGUUUUAUUGCUUCACAAGGAUUUUAUGAAAAAAAGUUUAACAGUGUAGAACUUAAUGUAGGCAACUGUUUUAAUCCAACCACUGGAGAGUUUACUGCCCCAGUUGAUGGCCUGUACAUAGUAACUCUUACCAUAAAACCAACAGGAGAUGGUGCCGCACAAGCUAAUGUUUGGCACUCAUCUGGUGGGGUAAGGAAAAGGCUUGGCGGUGUUGGAACAGAUAAAAUUAAUGAGGCUUCAAGAACUUUUGUUGUUAGGAUGAAAGCUGGAGAUAGGGUACAUUCACUUGCAAAUACUUACAACUGUGAGCGCACACAUUUUUCUUGCUUUCUUUUUGGUGACUGAUGUUUCAUACUGGCUGAGAGAUGUAUUACAUUUUUAAUGUUCUAUUUUAAUGUAUAUAUAAUUGUUACAAGAAUAUAUAAAGCACAUGCCAAUUUAAAAGUCAUGUAAAUGCUAUAUUACUAUGUAUUUAUAGUCAUUACUAAAACAUAAAAACUAUUUGCCCAUUUAAAUGACAUACUUUCAUAUUUAUUCUACACAUAUGAAGGUAAUUUUACUAGUUAUACUCUGUUUUGAAUAUUUUAAACUAAAUUCCCAUCUAGUUAUUAAUAUGACUUGUGUAAACUUAUGGCAUGCCUAUUCCCUAAGCUAUACUGGAUUAAAUAUUUAGCAAUGAUUUGUGACAAAUAAACAAUUGUCAAGCAUUACAUUACAGAUGGGGAUUUAACAUUUUUAAUAUGUUGUCAUUGCCAACAAACUUCAAUCAAUGAUUGAUUUAACUUAUAUCAACUUGCCGC